rnacentral:rRNA from 1 species
GACGAGCCACACGAACGUUAUUCGGAAUUACUGGGCUUAAAGGGUGCGUAGGCGGUGCGGAAAGUUGGGUGUGAAAUCCCUCGGCUCAACCGAGGAACUGCGCCCCAAAACUACCGUACUCGAGGAAGAUAGAGGUGAGCGGAACUUACGGUGGAGCGGUGAAAUGCGUUGAUAUCGUAAGGAACACCCGUGGCGAAAGCGGCUCACUGGGUCUUCUCUGACGCUGAUGCACGAAAGCUAGGGGAGCAAACGGG